rnacentral:rRNA from 1 species
AACGAACGCUGGCGGCAGGCCUAACACAUGCAAGUCGAGCGAGGUAGCAAUACCUAGCGGCGGACGGGUGAGUAACGCGUGGGAACGUGCCCUUUGGUACGGAAUAGCCCCGGGAAACUGGGAGUAAUACCGUAUAAGCUCUUCGGAGGAAAGAUUUAUCGCCAGAGGAUCGGCCCGCGUUGGAUUAGGUAGUUGGUGGGGUAAUGGCCUACCAAGCCGACGAUCCAUAGCUGGUUUGAGAGGAUGAUCAGCCACACUGGAACUGAGACACGGUCCAGACUCCUACGGGAGGCAGCAGUGGGGAAUAUUGGACAAUGGGCGCAAGCCUGA